GGCAAACAGACUAGGCCUCCCUCGGCUAGACUGAGUGAUGCUUCAUCAGAGUAUUCAAAUGUGUCCUAAUGCUAGACAUAAUAAAACUGCAACUGGUGAGUGUAGCGUGAGUGUAGGCACAAGUACACAAACAGGAGUAUGUGUGUUCAAGAUGUCCAUCACAGAUAGGCUUCAAGUAGGGUUUAGAAUACAUUCUGAGUAUGGUCAGACAUGCGC